rnacentral:rRNA from 1 species
UUAAAAAGCUCGUAGUUGAACCUUGGGCCUGGCUGACCUGUCCUCCUAAUCGAGUGCACGGGUUCGGUCGGGCCUUUCCUUCUGGGGAUCCCGAUGCCCUUCACUGGGCGUCGUGGGGAACCAGGACUUUUACCUUGAAAAAAUUAGAGUGUUCAAAGCAGGCCUUUGCUCGAAUACAUUAGCAUGGAAUAAUAGAAUAGGACAGAGGUUCUAUUUUGUUGGUUUCUAGGACCGCUGUAAUGAUUAAUAGGGAUAGUCGGGGG